AUGGACGCUAACUGGCGGCCCACCCAAGGGUCGGACCCCGCCGCGGCCGCCGCCGGCGUUGACCCGAACGCCCCGCCCGCCGCCGGAGCUGAUUGGCGCGCCCAGCUCCAGCCCGAGGCGCGCAGCAGGAUCGUCAAUAAGAUAAUGGAAACUCUCAAGAAGCAUCUGCCAGUAUCUGUGCCAGAGGGACUGAACGAACUUCAAAAAAUCGCUGUGCGAUUCGAAGAGAAGAUCUAUACUGCAGCAACCAAUCAGUCUGAUUAUUUGCGGAAGAUUUCUCUGAAAAUGCUCUCUAUGGAGACGAAGACACAACAGGCUCCUGGAAAUGCUCAAGUGAUACCAAAUCAAAACAACUCCGCUCAUGGACUCCCACCACAAGGCAGCAAUCAAGCACAAACAUCAGUAAUUCCCUUGAUGUCUCAGCAACAGGCCCGGCAGCCAAAUAGCUCUACAUCUGUACAAGCUUCUUCCCUCGCUAAUAUCGGACAGAACUUGCCAGGUGUCAACCAAACAUCAACGAUGCAGAAUGCGUCUGUCAUGCCACAGAACACAAUGAAUAAUGGCUUGGCGCAAGGCACUUCACAAGAUAUUUAUGCUGUACAAAGGCAAAUGGCAGGAAGGCAGCAACAGCAACAAUCACAGCAAUUAAUUUAUCAUCAGCAGCAAAUGCUUAUGAAACAGAAAUUGCAGCAGAAUGCACUUAUGCAACCGCAUAUUCAGCAGCAGCAAUCUUUGUUGCAGCCAACACAGAUGCAAUCUUCACAGCAAUCCAUGAUGCAAAUGUCAUCUGGCCUUCACCCUGGGCAGUCUACCGUUCCACAGACGCAGCCAAUGGCCAUGCAGUCAGCUACUCAGAGUGGUAUUCAACAGAAUCAAUUGAAUUCCGUACAACAAUCUGUGCAAUCAUUGCUCCAGCAACCUCAGCAAUCUGUUGGGAGGCAGCAGCAACAAGCACAGCCCUCCAUGCAUCAACAGCCUUCUCUGCAGAGUCUGCAGCCCAAUAUUCCUUUACAACAGCAGCAUCAACAGUUGAUGGGACAGCAACCAAAUGUACAACAAAAUCAGCUAAUUGGUCAACAGAAUGGUGCUAUGGAGAUGCAGCAGCAACAGAGGCUACCAGUUCAGUCAAAUAAUCUCUUGAGUGUGCAGCAAACACAGCAGAUGUUGAACCAGACGUCUACGCCUUUGCAUCAGCCGCAACAAUUGGGCUCUCAGUCAAACAUGUCGAGUCUACAGCAGCAGCAACAAAAUCAACAGCCGCAGCAGCUUCUUGGGACUGUACCUAAUGUUUCAAACAUGCAGCGGAUGCAUAUGCUCCAAACAAAAGUUCAGCAACCACAGCAACAACAGCAUGCUCAGCAGCCACCAAUGGGUUUGAUGCAACCUCAGUCUCAACACAACCUACCUCAACAAUCGCAACAGCAUCUUAUGUCGCAGUUCCAGUCUCAGCCUAACCAACUACAACAGCAAUUAGGGAUGCAGCAAUCCUCCAUGCAGCAAAGACUUCAAACUUCAGGAGGCAUGCUCUUGCAACAAAAUAACAUGGAUCAGCAAAAACAAUUUAUUCAGGCACAUAGGGGCCUUCCAGAAGUUUCCUCUAGUACAUCUGCGGACUCUACUGCUCAAACAGGCCAUGCAGGUGCAGGUGAUUGGCAAGAGGAGAUAUAUCAAAUGAUUAAGAGCUUGAAGGACCAAUACUUUGCAGAACUCAGUGAAUUGUUCAAUAAGAUAUCUGUGAAGCUACAGCAUGUUGACAGCAUUAUACCACCUCAAAAGCCAUCUGAGCAGUAUGAUAGAAUGAAGAGCUUUAAAAUAAUGUUGGAACGUAUAUUACAAAUGCUGCAAAUUAGCAAGAGUACUAUCCAACCUGCUAUGAGGGACAAAGUUCCUCAAUACGAGAAACAGAUUAUCAGUAUCUUGAAUUCACAAAGAAGGAAGCCAGUACAGCCACAAAUACAGCAACACUUCCAGCCACCUGCAGGACAAGCUCCUAAUUCUAGCAUUUCACAGCAGCAACAGCCUUCCCAAACUUUGCAGCAGCAUGAUAGUCAUACUAAUCCUCAAGCAAGUUUGUCAAGCAUGAGCACCGGGUUACAGUCCUCUAGUGCAGCUGGUAUCCAGCAUGUACCUGCGCCUCCAACAAAGAACUUCAGUGCCCCCACACAGCAAAAUGGUGCAAACAUACAGCAUCAGGCUGACUCUAAUUUGGAGACUGCUCAAGGAGGCAAUUUCAAUUCUUUGCAGCAUGGUUCAGUGAGUAGCGCAUUACAACAGGGAAGCACUGUGCCGAUGCAGGGAGCAAUGAAUACACAACUGCAGACAAGUAGUAGCAUGUUAUCUCACAACUCAGUGAGUACGAUGCAACCUAACGGUAACUCCAUGCAAGCAAAUGCAAGUUCAUUUCAGCAGCUGAAGCAGCAACAGCAGGAUCAUCAAAUGAUGCAGAGUCAGCAAAUGAAGCGUCAGAUGUUUCAACAGUACCAGCAAAAGCAACAAAUGCUUCAACAGCAGCUCCCAGUACAGCAACACUUGCAGAAACAGCAGCCAGUACAGAUGCAGAUUCCACAGCUUCAUGCUGGAAAUGACGUUAACGAGUUAAAGGUUAGACAAGGAACUGCAAUGAAACCUGGUAUGUAUCAACAGCACUUGGGCCAACGCAGUAACUAUUAUCAUCAGCAGUUGAAACAGAGUGGUGCUUUCCCAAUUUCGUCCCCACAAAACAACCUUCAAGCAUCAUCCCCACAAAUUUCUCACCAUUCUCCUCAGGUUGAUCAGCACAAUCCAUUGCCAUCUCAAGUCAAGACUGGGACACCCUUGCAUUCAGCUAACUCACCAUUUGUUCCAUCACCAUCCCCGUCUAUCGCCCCUUCUCCUAUACCAGUGGAUUCAGACAAACCACACUCCAAUAUAUCAUCACUUACUAAUACUGGGCAGGCUGGACAUCAGCAAACAUCCCUAGUGCCACAAACACAAUCGAUUGCUGUGAACACACCAGGGAUAUCAGCAUCGCCCUUGCUAGCAGAAUUUACAAGCGUGGAUGGAAGUCAGGCUAACAUGCCAACUCAAGCUCCAACCAAAUCAAGUGCAGUAGAAAGGCCUCUGGAUCGCUUACUUAAAGCAUUGCGAACAACACAGCGCGAGUCUCUUAAUGCUGCAGUUAGCGACAUUCGAUCUGUUGUCAGCAUGAUUGACAGGAUUGCUGGGUCAGCACCUGGUAAUGGCUCGAGAGCUGCCGUUGGUGAAGAUUUAGUUGCUAUGACAAAGUGCCGGUUACAAGCCAGGAAUUUUAUAACAAAUGAUGGAAGUGGUGCAUCGAAGAAAAUGAAGCGUGAUACAAGUGCCAUGCCUCUUAAUGUGUCAUCAGCUGGAAGUGUCAACGAUAGCUUCAAGCAAACAUUUAGUGUAGAUACCCCUGAUCUACAAUCAACUGCAACCUCACAGGCCAAGUGGCAAAAAAUUGAGGUAAAUCAUGCUCUCUUGGAGGAGAUCCAGGAGAUAAACCAACAGCUCAUAGACACGGAGCUCCAUGUAUGUGAGGACGAUGCUGAGUCAUUCGCUGGUACAUGUGAAGGAGCUGAAGGGACAGUCAUCAAAUGCACAUUUACUGCUGUGGCUGUUAGUCCGAGCUUGAAGUCCAUUUUUGCAUCUGCACAGAUGAGCCCAAUUAUGCCGUUGAGGUUGCUUGUUCCUGCUAGCUACCCUAAAUGCUCCCCGGUGCUCCUCGACAAGUUUCCGGAUGAACAAAGAAACUCGGAAGACCUGUCUAUGAAAGCAAAGUCAAAGUUUAGCAUAUUACUGCGCGGUCUAGCUGAGCCCAUGUCGCUGCGAGAAAUCGCAAGGACAUGGGACGCUUGUGCACGCAAAACCAUUGCAGAGUAUGCUCAGAAGACUGGCGGAGGAAGUUUCAGUUCGAGUUAUGGUUGCUGGGAAAGUUGUGUAGGUGCUUGA
rnacentral:rRNA from 1 species